UCGCCAGGUGCUCCGUAAAAUACACACCUAGGAGGAGGAAAACAGAUUCAGAAGAAAAAGCAUUUUUAAGUGAAGAUCUAUUGUAAUUCAACUAUCCUGGUAAGACAAAAAGUUUUCAUUUUAAGAUUUAAAAUGUUGUAUGUUCCUGUUAGUUUUGGUGUCAGAACUAGCCUUUUCCUGCAUUGACGACCUAACUUUAGAGUCUGUUUGCAUAGUUUUGCAAAAAUAAUUUUGGAUUAUUUGUCCAAAAUCCCUAUAAAUAAAUCAUUUAAAUUAAAUAUAUUUUUUUAAUCCUUUUUAGGACUUCUUGGUUAAACGUUUGUAUGUUUUGUGGUUUGAGUUGCAAUUGUUGACAAUUUUUUUGUCCCCCUGUGUUAGUUUAGAUUAAAUCUGUAGUUUUAUUUUUCCUCUUUGUUAGCUCUAUUUUCUUUUUUCUUUUACUUUGCUCUGUGAAAAUAAAACUUUUGCUUCAUCUAAAAUGUAUGGAAACUCUGUGUAGUUAUCUUUGAUGUCUGCUACGGGGAUAAUGUCCAACGCAUUUCUUUGGCAUCACUGUCACAGACAAAAGGUUUUUGUUUUUGUUUCCUUUUUGCCUCCAUGCUAAAGUUUCUGACCUUAGAUUUUUCCAGUUACUUGCAUUACAAGUAUGUUCCUCUGUUUACUACAGUGUAUUUUACUUUCUGUUGUUUGUUUUUACAUUACUCUCUUCGAUUUAAGUGGCACCAGAUUUUUUUCCCCCCCCCAAAUAGUUUUCAUGACAAGUCUUUGUUGUUCUUUUUGAUAGUUAAUAAGAGAAGUUGUUCUGAGAUAUAUAGUAACAAUGCAAAAACAAAUAAAUAAAAAUGCUGAGUUAAACUUAUGUGGCAGAGCAUUAAUUUCUUCUUUCAGAUUUACAAUAUGACUUAUUUAGUCAUGCACAAACGACACAACAAUCAAUUCAAUCUGGAUAGACUCACACAGAGAAAGAGAAGCAGUUAGAAGAUUUAAUGAUACAGAAACUUUGGCGCUCGAACCCGGCGGAAGACUUGUGAGCUGAGGAUCACCAGGCAGGUGAUCGGUCCAGGUUUAGCUCAGGGUAGUCUUCCCCCCGGUCCGAAUACUGGUGGUGGAACGGAGCCUUGAACGAAGGAGCAGAGAGGGAGCUAGGAAGAUGUCCCUGGGAUGAUGGUGGAGAUGGGGAGGAGGUGGGUCGAAGCACGGCUGACGAGCAAGAAGAUCCGGGGAAGCUUGUCCUUUGAAGGGAUCCGUGAACGACGAUUGGCUGAAGCGGUGCGGCGCACCUGUCCUGAUUGGCUGCGGCGGGAGCGUGGUUACAGGGAUGUCAGGUGACUGAGAAAGGCUGGGAUUUUCUUGCUUCAGCUCUUAAAUGUAAUAAAGUCUCCAAGCUAAGAGAGCUUGAUUUAAGUUAGAAUCACUGUGGAGAUUAUGGAAUGAGCGUCCUCAACACCAUCGCUAAGGAUCCAACUCAGAAGCUGGAGGCAGUGUGCUUUGACUAUAAUGGACCACAUCGGUUAAAGCCUGGGAUGAUGAAAUAUGCUGCAGAUCUAAAACUUGAUGGAAAAACAGCAGGCAGACGGCUUCUUCUGUCUGAAAACAAGAAAGAAGCAAAAACUAUACUCAAUACUAGUAAUAGGGUUUCACAGCAAGAAAACGAGGGCAGAUUUAAGAGGACCCAGGUGCUUUGUGAGGAGAGCCUAAAAUGCAUCUCCUACUGGGAAGUGGAAUGGACAGGCAAGGUCGGCAUUGCAGUGGCGUAUAAAACUGUGGGAAGAGAAUGGGACAGCACUGGUGGUCUGGGCUGCAAUGACUGGUCCUGGAGUUUGCUAUGUUCCAAAACUGAAUGCAUUGCCUUACAUGGGACGGAUCGACUCAAUGUUAGGAUUAAACCGUGCCAAAAAAUAGCAGUAUUGCUUGACUGGAAGGUUGGUACGCUGAGUUAUUUUAAUGUGUCUUCUGGAGGGCUGAGUCUGAUUCACACCUUCUAUGCAAAAUUCACAAAGGAGCUUUUUGCAGGUUUCUGGUUUCAGAAAGGCUGUGUAACUUUGUGUGAAAUAUAAUUUUUAUAUAUAUAUUUUUAAUAAAUGCAAACCAUUUUAGUUUUAGCUGUAUUAUUUUACAUGAAGAGCACAUGUGUUGCGUUUUUGCUUUAUGUUACUUUACUAUUUAAAUAAAUAAUUUGGGAGAGUUGUUAAAACUUAUUAAUGAUAAAGGAAGCAAUGCUUUCAAACACACAACUAACUUCAAUAUGCAAUGUUGAGAAAAACAAUCUAAAUAAAGACCAAGAAAGAUGCAGUAUUAUGUUUUUCUACUUAGGAAACUGAAUGGGUUUUAGUCUAGCAUUUAAAUCUAAACAAAAAUAUAAUACUCUGGGAAAUGAUGACGCUAAAAAACUGGAUAUAAGCUUCAGUAUAAAAGUAAAACCAAAACCUGAUGAAAAAGCUGGAAGUGAUAAAGAGGGCAAUAAAAAAUGUAAAUUGCAGAACAUGCUUGUGUGUGUGUUCUUUGAAAUUGAAGCUUUUCUUGGAAGAUGUUUUAUUAUCAUGUGAAUGUGGUUUGUCUAAAUAGCUUCAGUGAAAUGUCUCUGCUAUAAAACUACAUGUAUCUUGUAAAUUCCAGACAUAAAAUAAAGUGGUUUGAAGCAGAUAUACACACACAUAAAAAAAUAAAAAAUUCC